AAUAGAUACCCGGGUAGUCCUGGCCGUAAACGAUGUCGACUAGAUCGUGGUGGCUCUGACGCCUUCACGGUCGAAGCAAAAGUGCUAAGUCGACCGCCUGGGAAGUACGGUCGCAAGGCUAAAACUCAAAGGAAUUGACGGGGGGCUCACACAAGCGGUGGAGCAUGUGGUUCAAUUCGAAGCAACGCGCAGAACCUUACCUGGGCUUGACAUGCCAGGAUUAUCCCCAUGAAAGUGGGGUAGGCCCUUCGGGGUACAACUGGUACAGGUGCUGCAUGGCUGUCGUCAGCUCGUGUCGUGAGAUGUCGGGUUAAGUCCCUUAACGAGCGAAACCUUUGCCCUUAGUUACCAUCGGGUUAUGCCGGGGACUCUAAGGGGACUGCCGGUGUCAAACCGGAGGAAGGUGGAGAUGACGUCAAGUCCUCAUGGCCUUUAUGCCCAGGGCCACACACGUGCUACAAUGGCGUCCACAAAGCGAACCGAGAGCGCAAGCUGGAGGAAAUCGCACAAAUGACGCCCCAGUUCAGAUUGGAGG
rnacentral:rRNA from 1 species